UGCCAGACUCCUACGGGAGGCAGCAGUGGGGGAUAUUGCACAAUGGGGGGAACCCUGAUGCAGCGACGCCGCGUGAGUGAAGAAGUAUUUCGGUAUGUAAAGCUCUAUCAGCAGGGAAGAAAAAAGACGGUACCUGACUAAGAAGCCCCGGCUAACUACGUGCCAGCAGCCGCGGUAAUACGUAGGGGGCAAGCGUUAUCCGGAUUUACUGGGUGUAAAGGGAGCGUAGACGGCAAUACAAGUCGGAAGUGAAAUACCCGGGCUCAACCUGGGAACUGCUUUGGAAACUGUAUGGCUAGAGUGCUGGAGAGGUAAGCGGAAUUCCUAGUGUAGCGGUGAAAUGCGUAGAUAUUAGGAGGAACACCAGUGGCGAAGGCGGCUUACUGGACAGUAACUGACGUUGAGGCUCGACAGCGUGGGGAGCAAACAGGAUUAGAUACCCUGUAC
rnacentral:rRNA from 1 species